CUCACCGUCCUUCAGCAGCUCCUCAGGGGACAGUGCCUGGGGCCACCGGCAGCUCCCAGCGCUCCAGGGACACCCGGGGCUGGAACUGCUGCUGCGCCCGGCCCGGCCGCCAGCUCGGACCCAGCCCAGGGAGAGGGGACACAGGGGGCACAGGGGGAAAGCAAGAGGUGAAAAAGGCAGCCAAGGGAGGAAAGAGGUAAAAAUGCAGCCUAGACCUACACCAACAUCAAUCUAUUCACCGAAACAUUCAUAUUCUUCUUACUAUAUAACUAUGCACAUUUAUAACUUCAUAUAUUUUUUUACUCUACUUAUAUAUGAAUUUAACUCUGAAAAUCUAUCAAAAUAAUUACAUAUAUAGAAAUAUAAUUAUAUCACUUCUGUAACUGUAUACAUAGCCACAUUUAUCUAUACAGAUCUAUAAAUCUAUGCACAGAUAAACAGAACACUAUAAUGUACAAAUGGAACUGUAAGCACUGAUAAAUAGAACCAUAGAAAUCUAUAAAUUUAUCUACAAACAGAGAAAUCUACCUGCCCAAUGGUCACAGGCUCUCCUCUGACUCCUCCUGCCAUGCAGGGCAGCCCUCCUGGAGACGUUGGUCAGAUGGCAUCUGGAAGCAAAGGGAAUGCUGAGUCAAUAUUGGCCUCUCUGCACCUUUCCCUUGGGCAGCAAUUGUCUUUCUACCAGGGACUGGCAAAGAUGGCCUGAAAGGCAGACUCUCACCUGGCAAGUUGAAGCCUACUCUUCAAAGAACAGGGAUCAUUCCAAGUGUUCAAAAGUAUGUUUCAAAACACUGAAGUACCUUGAUAAAGUCUCGCAGUGCAAAGGGCACCCAUAAGAGUUUGAAACACAGACAGCCCCAGCUGCCACAAAGAAGCCCAGCCUUGCUCUUUCUCUGUGCUUACAGAGAGACCUCAGUCCCCACUGAAAUGGCUGAAGCUCAGGCGUGCUGGAAGCUGAGUUAUGAGCCAAAAUGGGACACCCAAGUUGGUGACGCAUAUCCUGCCAGGUCAGCUUUAGUCCCUGCUCUCUUGCCACAGCAGAGGACUGAGUGUCAGAGCCUCUGGAGGUCAUGGAACUCAGGGAAGUUGUGCCAGUGCAGGAUUUGAACUAAAGGCACCAGGAAGCACCAGCCUUGCUCAGAGCAGCCACCUUACACCUCUCUAAACCAAGGGGGGCUCUGUCCUUACCAGGCUCCUCGGGCUCUGGGGAACUGUUCCUGCAGCUCUCAGUGACAAAUAAAAUUUCCUCUGCUGCAGCUCUGUCCACAGGCUCCCCUCCUGAAGACUCAGGGGCAACACCAAUAUUAUCCUGAGCAGAAACACAGAAAGAAAGGAACCCAAUGAUCACUCACUAUUUGGCUGCAAUCCCAUCAGGGAUACAAGAACUCUCAUUCUCCACUCCCAAGGGACAUGGAGCAUGGGAGGAACACUGCCUACAUGGUUCAUAUGACAAGCCUUUUAAACUCAGGAUUCGGGUGACCAAGGUGAAACUGAAACUCUUGCAAAAUGAUUUUUGAGACAAAACAUGAACACAGAAAACCAGAAGGCAUCAAGUGAGGGGAUGUGGGGGAGGUGCCCCUUUGCUACCCAUCCAACGGAGUUACCUGAGCAGAGGGAGAUCCUUCUGACAGGGCCCUCCUGCUCUCCCAAAUAAUUUUCUCUACGACAAGGCCGAGAUCUGCUGGUGGCCAUCCCUCUUCCCCAGAUGCGUUCUGUCCUGAGCUGGAGGCCAUUGGUGCUGUACAACCAGCACUGCCAGCUGGAGCGCUGAGUGCUGAAAUGCCCAGGGUGGCUGCAAGAAUCCAAACACAUUGGUCAGGCUCCAGAAUGUGGGGAAGGAGGUAACAAAACAGCAUAUGCCUCUACAAGUACUUAAUUAUCCACAGACAGAUGAUGUGAAAGAGCAGCCUCUAGAAUGAGAACCUUAGCCCAAUACAUGUCACUAUAGACAUCUAGCAAUGGAAAUAAAGGUAGAGGGGUUCCUGCUGCCCCAUCUUCACAGCCUCUCCUUCAGCCCCUUUGUCCCAUGCAGAGCUGUCCUCCUGAUGGGGUUCAGAACAUGGACAUGAAGGAAGCCAAGGGCUGCAGAGCCCCUGCAGAGCUGCCAUGGAGCCCUUGCCAAGCCCUGCCUAGCAGCAGCCCUGGCCAGCCCUUGCCAGUGCCUUGGGCUGACUGAGGGCAGUGUGAAGAGAAAGGCAGGCAGCAGAGCCUGGGCCAUCCCUACCUUGGCUUCUUGGCCUGCCAGAGCCUCCUGCAUUUCUCCAGUUUUCUUUGGUAUGUCCUCUUCUGCUUCCUUUAUGACUAGCAUUCCCUGUCAUCUGGCCAGGCCUCUUCCUGCUAUCUUUUCCUUCUCUUUUUCUCUUCCUGGUGUUAGCAACCUUUAAGCCUUUUGCCACAAAGUUGGAUUAGAGAGGCAAAGCCAGGAGCCAUGAGCUAAGUCCCUUCUUGUCCUGGCUAAGUCCCUUCUUUUUGGAACCAAUGUGAGUUCCUUUUACCUUGUUGAAGCAGAAAGGCUCAUCAGGACUUUGGCCUUUGCUAGCAACUUUGUGGAGCUCUGGUGGGUGCUUGGAGGCAAAGCUGGAGGUGCCUCAAGCAGAAAUUCUGGAGGUGAGCGGUGGCAACAGACAGCCUGGAGGAGGAAGGGAGCAAUUGCCAAAUCACCCUCUUAGCUCUGCAGAGAAGAUGCUGCUUUUCAUCAGCCCCUCUCACUCAGUACAGCUGCCCCCAAAGGGACUGGAGGGAGCUGGGAUGAGCGGGGGUCUGAGCUCAUCAGAAGGCCUCUCAAGGUGACAGCUCCCCCACUGCUGCUUUAAUUUGCAAGUGAAUUUUGUAAAUUCAUGAAACAUGCCUAAGGCAUUGGGCAAGCAACCCGUGGAGUUUUUUGCUAGCAUGUGUCAGAAAGCAGGUGGAGAGAGAGAUGGGGGGGGGGGGAGAGAGAGAAAAGGCAGGCAGGAAGGAAGGCUGCAGAACUGUAGUCAGGAGCAGGUACAGCAGUUCCUUGGCCUCAUGUAAAACUGCCCAUCUCUCUGGCCUGCAUUGUGCCAGGCUUUGUGCAGCUGCCAUACCUCUGCUCUUUGGCCACUGUGGCCUCUCUGCCAUCUUCUUGCUGGACAUCUGGCGGAGAGGGGGAUGCAUCGGGAUAGCUUCUUGCCUGGGGCUCCUCCUCUGCUCUUCCCACAGGGCCACUUUGCUCUUCCUGUCCCAGCUUAGAAAGCAAAAGCAUGUGCAGCAAAGCGACUUCUUGGAAGACAAGAGCACCGAAAGAAAACCCAGAGGGGACACUGCUUGUCUUCUUGAUGCUGAGAUAUCUGGAACCCUGAGUCCCAGGCUGGGACAAGCCUCUGUUUCUGAUCAUACCUGUGGAUAUGUCCCUGGGCACUGGGGUCUCCUCUGGGCCAGACAACUCCUCAGCAAAGAUGUCUAUGUUCUCAAUCAAAAAGGCCACCAGCAGCUUCACAUGCACUCAGGAAGGCCUUGGUCUCAGCCCAGGUGCUGACAGCAUGGCAAGCAGCCUUUGCCAUCCCUGCUGAGCCUUUUCCUCUGCACAGAAGGCUGUGGGGCAGCUCCUGCAUGGCCUUGGCUGGAGAGAGGGGACAGCUAGGCACAGGCAUCUCUGGGCAGCCAAGCUUGCGGGGGCUGGGGAGGCUGCAGCUGGCUGCUGAAGGCAGCAUUCCCUUCUUGUUCUCGUCCAGUAUGGCCUAGAGCUCCAGCUGCUCCUCCUGGGGUGGGCUCAGCAGGUUUGACCCCAGGCAGAUGGCCAGGUUGCUGCAGGUCAUUCUGCUGGUGGCCCCGUGCUGGUGGCCGAUGUUUCUCAGUGAGAGCAGCUUCCUGAGGAGGAGCAGGUUUACUGCUGGCAGCUUCUUGGCCGCCCUGAGGGAACAGGAAGGCAGUGUCCAUUAGCAGGCCCAUGUUGCCCACAGCCACCUGUAAGAGACGGUCCAAAGUUUCCCUCAUUUGCCUCAUGACCGUCGCAAGGACAGAGACUAAGACCUUGAAGACCCCAGAUGAAGUUCUGGCCUGGUUGAAGUGGAUGCUCACCAAGUGAUUCCUGUGUGCUUCCUGGGCCAAGACUAUUUGCCCAUGGGAAAAACUGCUUCAAGUAGGGACUGGCAAGGAACGGCUUGCUCUAUAUGCUUACAUCUGCUUCAUGAUCCCUGCUCAUCACAACAGCCUUGAGUUUCCCCACCUCCUAGCCAGAUGCCACUCACUUUAGAGAAAGACUAUCUGAGAUAACAUUGGAGAUCUGCCAUGGAAGAUCCCUCAUCUCUCUCAUGACUGCCGUCAAGGAUGGAGAUUGAAGCCCCGCCCAAGGACUGAGACCAAGACACUUAAAAUUCUAACACGGGGCGCUGGGCUGACUGAAGCGGGAAGUCUGCCAAGUGUUGCCUGCAGAUGUGUUUGCUGGACCAAGACUGGUUUCCCAUUGAAACCACUCCUGAAACAAUGGCUCCUGCUCACUGCUGGGACUAGUUUGUCCUGUUCAGAACUGGACUGCCUGAACUUGUUCCUCAACAGACUUAUUCUCUACUGUCCUGUAUGAAAGACCCCUGAGUUAACCAAGUCUUUGAGAUUCCCCCCAACAUGACAAGACAGAUCUAUUGGCUGGAGCACAAGGAUUUAGUCUCUCCAUUGGAGGAACACCCACAGCUGGAAGCCCUGGACCAGUAUCUGCUGCUUGGACAUUCAUGUGUGAGAAAGGGCAUGCCAGGAGAGGCUGUGUCAGGCAAUGGUGGCAGAAGAACUCUGGGAAUUAGUUCUCAUGUGGACAUUCUGAUCCUGCACUGGACUAUCAAUUACCUGCUCAUUUGGCCCUGUCCAAUUUGAGACUUGCACACAAUAUGUCACUUUUAAAUUUAAAUUGUAAGUUAGUAUAUAAAGCCAAGCAGGCAUUUGCUUAAAAAUAGGUGUCUAGCACUGAUUUUCCUGCCAACAAUUCCUGCAGGCUAAAAAGGGAGAAGAUUGAAGCAGAGCAAGAGACUCACUUUGUUGUGGUGUUUGGUUUAUCAGAAAAGGGAGAAGGCCAGCUCUGAAGCUGUACUCUCAAAAUAUACUGACUGUUCUCCAAACCUGAGAUGUGAAUAUGUGAUGGAGAGGCUACAAAAAGAAUGUUGGAAAUACAGAUUGGUUUGUAAUUGAUUGCUUCUUGAAGAGCUGAAUUUACAUUUUGCAAGACUGAUAAAAGUUCAUCUGUCAUUUGAAUGUGAGGCAGUAAAGGUGAAGUGAAAGUUGCAGAAUUGAUCUUUGCAAACACAUGACAUUUGGCAAAAGGGAGCCAGUUGUCAGGAGCAUUGUGUUGUGACACUGUAGUUAUGACAGAAAUCUGAACAUGGAGAAAAAGUAGAAUGAAUGAAUAAGCAGAAUUCAGAAUUGACUUAAUCAAGUACAAGAUAAAGAAACACAAUCACCAUGACAAGAACUGACAGUCAGCACAAGGCCCUGCGUUAAGGAUGAAUUUGUGUAGUAUUUAUGAGAACUGGGAAUUAAUGAAGGAGAGAGAUUUAAUCAGAACGAGCUGCUGGAGUCUUUAACAGAAGUCAUUCUUUCAGAAGGCUGAGUUUUAUGACAAACUUGUCCCCCCUCUUAUCUUUGAUUGCUGCAGUUAAUUAGAUAUUGCACAGUGGGGAUGUGGUGGACACUGGCUGGGUAGAAGGCAUUGAGAAAAAAUUAAAAUUCAUCAGAAUAAGCAAGAUUUUUCUUAAAACUAAGUGGA